CCUACGGGAGGCAGCAGUGAGGAAUAUUGGUCAAUGGACGAGAGUCUGAACCAGCCAAGUAGCGUGAAGGAUGACUGCCCUAUGGGUUGUAAACUUCUUUUAUAUGGGAAUAAAACGUUCCACGUGUGGGAUUUUGUAUGUACCAUAUGAAUAAGGAUCGGCUAACUCCGUGCCAGCAGCCGCGGUAAGACGGAGGAUCCGAGCGUUAUCCGGAUUUAUUGGGUUUAAAGGGAGCGUAGGUGGAUUGUUAAGUCAGUUGUGAAAGUUUGCGGCUCAACCGUAAAAUUGCAGUUGAAACUGGCAGUCUUGAGUACAGUAGAGGUGGGCGGAAUUCGUGGUGUAGCGGUGAAAUGCUUAGAUAUCACGAAGAACUCCGAUUGCGAAGGCAGUUCACUGGACUGCAACUGACACUGAGGCUCGAAAGUGUGGGUAUCAAACAGGAUUAGAUACCCUAGUAGUC
rnacentral:rRNA from 1 species